rnacentral:hammerhead_ribozyme from 1 species
AUCCAACUGACGAGUCUCAAAUAGGACGAAACGCGAGUCCUGGGU